rnacentral:rRNA from 1 species
GAUGAACGCUGGCGGCGUGCUUAACACAUGCAAGUCGAACGAUGAAGCCCAGCUUGCUGGGUGGAUUAGUGGCGAACGGGUGAGUAACACGUGAGUAACCUGCCCUUAACUCUGGGAUAAGCCUGGGAAACUGGGUCUAAUACCGGAUAGGAGCGUCCACCGCAUGGUGGGUGUUGGAAAGAUUUAUCGGUUUUGGAUGGACUCGCGGCCUAUCAGCUUGUUGGUGAGGUAAUGGCUCACCAAGGCGACGACGGGUAGCCGGCCUGAGAGGGUGACCGGCCACACUGGGACUGAGACACGGCCCAGACUCCUACGGGAGGCAGCAGUGGGGAAUAUUGCACUAUGGGCGCAAGCCUGAUGCAGCGACGCCGCGUGAGGGAUGACGGCCUUCGGGUUGUAAACCUCUUUCAGUAGGGAAGAAGCGAAAGUGACGGUACCUGCAGAAGAAGCACCGGCUAACUACGUG